GACUGGCAGCAUGCCGUAUCUCUCGGCUCUUUGGACGUCGCGUUUUCUUGAUGAACUGAACUUUAGGCAUGGUAAAUUGUAUCCACAAAUAUUUACCAUGGCCAAUAAAUGUGCAUUCAGAAACAUUUUAGCAUUAUAACUGUUGCACUUUACAUAACUUUUGACAUUAUUUUGUUGAGGCUUCGCCGUGGCCGAUAUUUCUUCAAGAAAGAUGAACCAUGUGCAUUUUUGUCACAUGGCAGGCUGGCCACAAAGGUCGUACAAGAAACUGCAAUGAAUUCAGAAGAACAUUCGAUGUCGAACCCUUUAUUUCAUUUACAAUAACUCGUCGUGAGUUCCAAUACAUUUUUGACGACUAUAAUGCAAGUUUCAACUUCGGAGUUGAGCUUGCGAGUGAGCUCCUGACCAGCCAAAAGUCCAGCCACAUUUUUGAACUGUUUCCUGAGUUGCAGAAAGAGAAAACAUCUUUGUGCUGGUGACCCCAAUGUGCCUGUCCAGAUGGGUGAUGUAAAUCUAUGGAUAUGUGGUUUGUGGACGAAUUUGGAGGUUCACCAAAGGACCAAGGUAAAAAAACUUUGCCAGAAAUCCGACCUCCACUUUUAAAGUUCGCAUAUAAUAUGCGACUUACCUUUUGAAUAAAAUUUUGGACUUAUUUUCCCCGACCCCUUGGCAGUAUAACAUAACAACCUAGUAAGUUUUGCAAGACACCCUUUUUCAAUUUUUACUGCUGUAUCUACAAAUACAAAUCUUAAAUAACCUGGCUGUUAAAAAACCCAGACCCCCACCCCGAAAAUAAAAUAAAUAUAGAAUAAAAACAAUAGUCAAUAAAUAAUUUCUUUUGAAAAAUCCCCCACCCCCCAAAAAACACAACAAAAAAGACAAAACUGUCGUACCUAUUGACCUUUCUAUAAAAAAAACGCCCAAAACAGAAACACCCAAAACUAUUGUGUAAUAGUGGAGGUCGGAUAGUGCAAGUUAAACCCUCAAGAUGAAGAUCAAGACAAGAUGAAGACUGCAAAGAGUAAGAGGAGAUCUAACCCGUUCUCUUACAGAGUCCCACCCCUUGUACCGCCCCUUCCCCAAUCAAUGUUCUUCAAUCUUGUUGAUGUUGUCCUUACUUGUCUAUCUUUCAUGGUGACUCUAAGCUGUCUCUGCAUUUCUUGAGUUGCAUAUUGGUCGAAGCCAGUGAUGCUUUUUAAUUAGGAGACUAGUCUUACUGGAAAUUUCUGUUGGUGUUGAUUCUUCAAGUCGUCAGUUGUCAUGUUUAUUCAAAUUGUCAUGAUUUAGAAAACAAUUUUUUUUCUUAAACUUUAUAAACAUAAGGGUAAAUUAAAACUGUACCAUAGUAAAUUAACACAAAAAUUAAACUAAUUGUAACCACUAUAAAUGUUUUAGUAGUAGUUGUGCAAAUAAUGAGGAGUGUUCGAUCAUUAGGAAUUGUAAAUAAAUCAUUUGACCAGCUAUAUGAAUAUUUACACUUUCUGAUAUCAUCAUUACUCUGACUUCCGAUUUUAAGCAAUAUUGUAAAAUUAAGUAUUUGGUUACUGAAAAUAAUAGAGAAAAGAAGAACAAAUAAAACCCUAAAGCAAUAAUAACCACCCCAAAUGUUUAAGAAAUAAUUAUGCAGAUCAAUAAUAAGUCCAGUCCAAUCAACAUUCAUUCUGAUGAGGAAUGUUAGAUUUAGGAGUAUUGUAAAUAAUAUUAUUUAGUCCAUGCUAAAUGAAUAUUUACAUGUUCCUAAUAUCAGCAUUACUUUCACUUAUGAAUUUAAUCAUUUGAAAAAUAGUAAAAAAAAAUUAUAGUCCAGCACGAGCUUUAAAAAAAAUUGAAGUCCCGAAAUUAAAAUAUUUUAUAUUAGGGCCUAACUUAUCAAACUUCCUUAAAAACACUUAUUCUCGAGCGCUGUGAAAAAAACAAAAUGAAUGCUGUUUAAAGAAGAUAAAAUGAAGACGACGGAAGUCAACGAAACAGAGCAGAUCAUCCAUGGGGAGCAUGCAUGAAGGGGAGAUGUCAGGAACGCUUUAGGUAAGUAUGAAUAGUAAGACAGUAAGGGGAUAAUAGUGUUGGCCUAGAAAUAAGACUAACUCUCUACUCUUUCAGCAGGUUUGACAAUUGUAAGUAUAUGUUGUCUUGAGCAAAGAACUGAGCUGUGAGUAAACGAUGAUGAAGACUCUCCCUUUGAUGUCACUGAUGAGUGACUGGAGGCUGUUCAUCAAAGGUUAAGUAUGAGGUAAAUGUAUCGGGGUAAAUUAGUCUAGCCAAACUUUUCCCCACCACAUCUAACCAAUAAUUUCCGAACAAAUUAUUGCUCAACAGUGCUAACCAAUUUUCUCAACAGCGAGCUAACCAAUUUUUUCAACACCCUAUAACCAUUAAAUGGUUAGGCUGUUGAGAAAAUUGGUUAGCUCGCUGUUUUUCUCCGUAGCCUAACCUAGCCUCGACAUAGGCUAUACUCUUUUUUGUUUCCACAGUUUGUAACCGGUUCUUGGCGAAGUGGAUGCCUUGUGGCAGGACUGGUGCUUGUGCUUAGAAACACAGAAAUUGCUGAAGCUACCUUGAUGUCUCCGAUGCCUGACCCAAGGUCAGCGGGGUCAAUGAGAUCCUGCAUGUUCUUACUUGAAGGAUGAGAUGAUGAAGGAAGUUGUGUUCUGGAAUCUUGACUGAGCUGAGGCUGCUACAAGCAGGGACUGUUGUCAUGAACGGUUUGAAUAUGUAUCGGGUUUUACCAAUGAGCAUGGAGGUAGAAAUAGACUAUUUCUACCUCCAUGCCAUGAGUUACAAGUGAUUAAAGACUGGUUCAUACUUCCUGUGAAUGCUAAGCAAAUUUUGGUGUUACAUGGCUUUUUGACGCGAAUGUUUCGCAGGAGUUGAACAAAGUUCAACUGUUGCGAAUUUAUGUUGAGAUUCGUAUCACAUUUGCAUUCGCAAGAAGUAUGAACCGGGCUUUACUGGGGAAAAAUUGCCUACUAAAUGUAUCAACAACUCAAUCAAGAAACUUGGAGGAUGAUGGACAUCAGCAUCAGUUUAUCAACAAAUUUGGAAGAAACAAAUUGUGUCAAAUUAGAUUUGGUUCUCAAACAAAUCUCUAAAAGCUGCUGAAAAGACAAUUUUAAGCAGCAGUUGAAAUACUUUCAUUUAAAGUUUUACAACAAUCAUCAACGAAGAGCUAACCACCGAGGAUAACUUACGAACCAGUUAACUUGAUUUAACAAAAGUGUAGUAUUGUAACAAUCCAAACAAGUUAAAAUUCUUCCUGAAACAUAAUAAUCGACUCUCAAUGAAGCUUAUUAGUAAUAUGUUAAUGCAUGGAGAUAAUUUUGUCUGUUAAAUUUUUCCUCAGUUGAGUGGGGGACUACAACUAUUGUUUGGCUGAGCGUCGUUGGAAGAUACAGAGAGUAUGGUGACUACAGCUGGACCUUUUGAAUGAGCAUCACGAGAGGAUACAGAUUGAGACGAUUGACUUUGAGAUGACAUUCCCGCAAACUCAGAGGGCUAAUCAAUAUUUGUGGGGUGUUCUGUACCACCAGCUGUUUGGACCCACCAGCUAGAGGACAACACCUUUUCAAGACUGAGACGAUGAACUUAGAGAUGGCAUUUACCCACCCUUGAGGCUAAUCAACGCUUUUUUGGACUGUGUGCCGCCAGCUUCUUCAAGUCUAGCUAGCUGACUCUAUACUACAGUUCAACCCUUCAUGAGACCUUUUGAUGUUGAGGCUAACCGAUGCUUUCUGAUCAGUACAAAGAGUCAACAACACACUGCUUGACUGACAUGAUGUUCAGGGAGAUGAAAUACACCCAAUCUUGAGACUAAUCGAUGCUUUUUGGAAUGUGAUGAGCCAACAGCUGAUGAAAGACUGGUUUAAUUUCAGCAAGACGACUCUAUGCUACACGUUCAACUGUUCAUCAAGUGACGUUUGGACUAUGGAUGUUGAGGCUUACCGACGCAUUUUGGACAGAUGUAGAGUCAACAACAGGA